rnacentral:rRNA from 1 species
GAUAAACGCUGGCGGCGUGCCUAACACAUGCAAGUCGAACGCCCUUUUGCGCAAGUGAGAGGGAGUGGCGGACGGGUGAGUACCACGUGGGUACCUACCUUGAGGUGAGGAAUACCACCGAGAAAUCGGUGACAAGACCGCAUACGCUUGGCAACAAGCAAAGUCUCGCAAGAGACGCCACAAGAUGGGCCUGCGCCUGAUUAGCUAGUUGGUGAGGUAAUGGCNCACCAAGGCGACGAUCAGUAGCUGGUCUGAGAGGAUGAUCAGCCACACUGGGAUUGAGAACGGCCCAGACUCCGUACGGGGG